AUUAACGUUGGUAGUAUGCCUAACACAUGCAAGUCGAACGCGAAAGGUGCAAUGGAAAGGUGCAAUUUGAAAGGAGAAAUCUGAGUAAGGUUGUAUUGAGUAAGUUGUAUUGAGUAAAGUGGCGAACGGGUGAGUAAUGCUUAUCUACUGCCGAUUAGUGGGGGAUAACCACGGGAAACCGUGGCUAAUACCGUAUAUUCUGGUUUCAACCAGGAAAGGAAGUCACAAGAUUUUCGCUAAUUGAUAGGGAUAAGUCGUAUUAGUUAGUUGGUGGGGUAAUGGCCUACCAAGACAAUGAUGCGUAGCCGGCCCGAGAGGGUGAACGGCCACAAGGGGACUGAGACACGGCCCCUACUCCUACGGGAGGCAGAAGUGGGUAACUUAUGGCAAUGGACGAAAGUCUGACCAAGCAAUACUACGUGAAGGAGGAAGGUCAGCGGAUUGUAAACUUCUAUGGGUAGGUAGAGAUACUUACCCUGAAAAAGUCACGACUAACUAUGUGCCAGCAGUCGCGGUAAGACAUAGGUGGCGAACGUUAUCCGGAAUUAUUGGGCGUAAAGGGUGCGUAGACGGUCUAGUAAGUUGGCGGUGGUAAAUCGAGGCCUAACCUCGUGGAAGUUGUUAAUACUACUAGACUCGAGUACAGGAAAGGUUAACGGAACUCAAUGUGGAGCGGUAAAAUGCGUAGAUAUAUUGAAGAACACCAAUAACGGCGAAGGCAGUUAACUAUUCUGUUACUGACGUUGAGGCACGAAAGCGUGGGGAGCAAAAAGGAUUAGAUACCCUUGUAGUCCACGCCCUAAACGAUGAGUGCUAGGUAUUGGAAACUUGAUUUUCAGUGUCGCUAGGUAACCCGGUAAGCACUCCGCCUGGGUAGUACGCUCGCAAGAGUGAAACUCAAAGGAAUUGACGGGGACUCGCACAAGCAGUGGAGCAUGUGGUUUAAUCCGAUACAACGCGUAGAACCUUACCAAGGCUUGACAUGGGAUGUAGUAGCAGCAAUGUUAUUACUAAAUUAGAGAAAUCUAGUUGAAUCUUCACAGGUGCUGCAUGGCCGUCGUCAGUUCGUGCCGUGAGGUGUAUGGUUAAGUCCUAUAACGAACGUAACCCUUGUACUUAGUUACCAGCGGGUAAAGCCGGGGACUCUAAGUAGACUGCAAGGCGUGCUUAUAGCAUGCCUGAACUGAGUAAUCAGGAGGAAGGAAAGGAUGACGUCUGGUCGUCAUGGCCCUUAUGCCUUGGGCGACACACGUGCUACAAUGGUUAACACAAAGCGUUGCCAACCCGCGAGGGGGAGCCAAUCGCAAAAAAUUAACCUCAGUUCGGAUUGGAGGCUGCAACUCGCCUCCAUGAAGUAGGAAUUGCUAGUAAUCGCAAAUCAGCCAUGUUGCGGUGAAUACGUUCUCGA
rnacentral:rRNA from 1 species